rnacentral:rRNA from 1 species
GACCGAACCGACUAAUGUUGAAAAAUUAGCGGAUGACUUGUGGCUGGGGGUGAAAGGCCAAUCAAACCGGGAGAUAGCUGGUUCUCCCCGAAAGCUAUUUAGGUAGCGCCUCGUGAAUUCAUCUCCGGGGGUAGAGCACUGUUUCGGCAAGGGGGUCAUCCCGACUUACCAACCCGAUGCAAACUGCGAAUACCGGAGAAUGUUAUCACGGGAGACACACGGCGGGUGCUAACGUCCGUCGUGAAGAGGGAAACAACCCAGACCGCCAGCUAAGGUCCCAAAGUCAUGGUUAAGUGGGAAACGAUGUGGGAAGGCCCAGACAGCCAGGAUGUUGGCUUAGAAGCAGCCAUCAUUUAAAGAAAGCGUAAUAGCUCACUGGUCGAGUCGGCCUGCGCGGAAGAUGUAACGGGGCUAAACCAUGCACCGAAGCUGCGGCAGCGACACUAUGUGUUGUUGGGUAGGGGAGCGUUCUGUAAGCCUGUGAAGGUGUACUGUGAGGUAUGCUGGAGGUAUCAGAAGUGCGAAUGCUGACAUAAGUAACGAUAAAGCGGGUGAAAAGCCCGCUCGCCGGAAGACCAAGGGUUCCUGUCCAACGUUAAUCGGGGCAGGGUGAGUCGACCCCUAAGGCGAGGCCGAAAGGCGUAGUCGAUGGGAAACAGGUUAAUAUUCCUGUACUUGGUGUUACUGCGAAGGGGGGACGGAGAAGGCUAUGUUGGCCGGGCGACGGUUGUCCCGGUUUAAGCGUGUAGGCUGGUUUUCCAGGCAAAUCCGGAAAAUCAAGGCUGAGGCGUGAUGACGAGGCACUACGGUGCUGAAGCAACAAAUGCCCUGCUUCCAGGAAAAGCCUCUAAGCAUCAGGUAACAUCAAAUCGUACCCCAAACCGACACAGGUGGUCAGGUAGAGAAUACCAAGGCGCUUGAGAGAACUCGGGUGAAGGAACUAGGCAAAAUGGUGCCGUAACUUCGGGAGAAGGCACGCUGAUAUGUAGGUGAAGUCCCUCGCGGAUGGAGCUGAAAUCAGUCGAAGAUACCAGCUGGCUGCAACUGUUUAUUAAAAACACAGCACUGUGCAAACACGAAAGUGGACGUAUACGGUGUGACGCCUGCCCGGUGCCGGAAGGUUAAUUGAUGGGGUUAGCGGUAACGCGAAGCUCUUGAUCGAAGCCCCGGUAAACGGCGGCCGUAACUAUAACGGUCCUAAGGUAGCGAAAUUCCUUGUCGGGUAAGUUCCGACCUGCACGAAUGGCGUAAUGAUGGCCAGGCUGUCUCCACCCGAGACUCAGUGAAAUUGAACUCGCUGUGAAGAUGCAGUGUACCCGCGGCAAGACGGAAAGACCCCGUGAACCUUUACUAUAGCUUGACACUGAACAUUGAGCCUUGAUGUGUAGGAUAGGUGGGAGGCUUUGAAGUGUGGACGCCAGUCUGCAUGGAGCCGGCCUUGAAAUACCACCCUUUAAUGUUUGAUGUUCUAACGUUGGCCCCUGACCGGGGUUGCGGACAGUGUCUGGUGGGUAGUUUGACUGGGGCGGUCUCCUCCUAAAGAGUAACGGAGGAGCACGAAGGUUGGCUAAUCCUGGUCGGACAUCAGGAGGUUAGUGCAAUGGCAUAAGCCAGCUUGACUGCGAGCGUGACGGCGCGAGCAGGUGCGAAAGCAGGUCAUAGUGAUCCGGUGGUUCUGAAUGGAAGGGCCAUCGCUCAACGGAUAAAAGGUACUCCGGGGAUAACAGGCUGAUACCGCCCAAGAGUUCAUAUCGACGGCGGUGUUUGGCACCUCGAUGUCGGCUCAUCACAUCCUGGGGCUGAAGUAGGUCCCAAGGGUAUGGCUGUUCGCCAUUUAAAGUGGUACGCGAGCUGGGUUUAGAACGUCGUGAGACAGUUCGGUCCCUAUCUGCCGUGGGCGCUGGAGAACUGAGGGGGGCUGCUCCUAGUACGAGAGGACCGGAGUGGACGCAUCACUGGUGUUCGGGUUGUCAUGCCAAUGGCACUGCCCGGUAGCUAAAUGCGGAAGAGAUAAGUGCUGAAAGCAUCUAAGCACGAAACUUGCCCCGAGAUGAGUUCUCCCUGACUCCUUGAGAGUCCUGAAGGAACGUUGAAGACGACGACGUUGAUAGGCCGGGUGUGUAAGCGCAGCGAUGCGUUGAGCUAACCGGUACUAAUGAACCGU